CACGGAUUUUCCAAACUGUUAUACGACACUGGGAAAAAAAAAAAAAAAAAAAAAAGAAGCCCGUGAAAGUUUUUCUCGAGCUUUGCACAUUCUUCUAGAAGUCUUACGGUGAAAAUGUCCGUAUUUUCAGAAUUUUCUGAUGUGAAAGUGCCAUGACUUUACAAUUCAACUGGACAUUUGCGUUAUUUCCGCUUUGUAGUAUUAUGAGGAAUGAAUAUACAUCCUCCUGUUGCAAGGCAAGCUUUCAAUCUUUAUGACAGCUACCCUCAGCAUAGGAAGUACAACUGGUGUUUUUCACCCAGUACCGUUAUGUAAUUAUCCAAACAAACUCCAAUCAAAGACUGAGUCAUGAUCUGUGUAGACCUUAGGU